ACCUGAUGAAGUGGGCAUUUAUAGAGUAGGUCCCUAAAGUGCUCCCAAGUCUCGAAAAAGAGUUCCCCUUCCCUCUGUGAGAAACUUGUGAUGACUCUCUGAAACU